rnacentral:rRNA from 1 species
CCUACGGGGGGCAGCAGUGAGGAAUAUUGGUCAAUGGGCGGAAGCCUGAACCAGCCAAGUAGCGUGCAGGAUGACGGCCCUACGGGUUUUAAACUGCUUUUAUACGGGAAUAACGCGCCUUACGUGUAGGGCUUUGCAUGUACCGUAUUAAUAAGGAACGCCUAAUUCCGUUCCCGCAGCCGCGCUAAUACGGAAGGGACGAGCGUUAUCCGGAUUUAUUGGGUUUAAAGUGAGCGUAGGCCGCAUGUCAAGCGUGCUGUGAAAUGUCCGGGCUCAACCCGGGCCUUGCAGCGCAAACUGGCGUGCUUGAGUCCGCGGAAAGCAGGCGGAAUUCGUCGUGUAGCGGUGAAAUGCUUAGAUAUGACGAAGAACCCCGAUUGCGAAGGCAGCUUGCUGCAGCGGAACUGACGCUGAUGCUCGAAAGCGCGGGUAUCGAACAGGAUUAGAUACCCGGGUAGUC